GACGAACGCUGGCGGCGUGCUUAACACAUGCAAGUCGAACGAUGAAGCUGGAGCUUGCUCCGGUGGAUUAGUGGCGAACGGGUGAGUAACACGUGAGCAAUCUGCCCUUGACUCUGGGAUAACUGCGGGAAACUGUAGCUAAUACCGGAUACUUUCACUGGAAGGCAUCUUCUGGUGAAGAAAGAAUUUCGGUCAAGGAUGAGCUCGCGGCCUAUCAGCUUGUUGGUGAGGUAACGGCUCACCAAGGCGACGACGGGUAGCCGGCCUGAGAGGGUGACCGGCCACACUGGGACUGGGACACGGCCCAGACUCCUACGGGAGGCAGCAGUGGGGAAUAUUGCACAAUGGGCGCAAGCCUGAUGCAGCAACGCCGCGUGAGGGAUGAAGGCCUUCGGGUUGUAAACCUCUUUUAGUAGGGAAGAAGCGAAAGUGACGGUACCUGCAGAAGAAGCACCGGCUAACUACGUGCCAGCCGCCGCCGUAA
rnacentral:rRNA from 1 species